rnacentral:lncRNA from 1 species
CUGUUUGAGACAGAGCCAUGACAACAAAUAAGAUGAUAAACGCAAAUAAAAUACAAACACAAAAACAAACUAUGAGCAUAAAUCAUUAACCACAAAUAAUAAUUGAUAAAAAAAAAAAAAAGAGAAUCUCACGUUCAUAUUUCUUCUCAAAUUCACCGGUGAGAUGCCUCUUCACGAAAGUGGUCUUUCCUGUAAAGAUCCAACAUCGUAUAAUAAAACAAUAAAACUCAUAUUGAUGAUGAACAACUCGAUACUGAAAUUUUACUUUUAGAAAUAAGGUAGAUCGUUCCCCAAAAAAGAAAAACCAGACAAACAAUACCAAUUGCGAAAUAACCAAACCCUAACCCUAACCCUAACGGUUUCAAAUCAAGAAAGAAUGAAAGUGGAUCACCCUCAAGAAGCAAGAAGUAAUUCACCUGUCCCACCGUCACCGACGAUGACGAGCUUGAAACUUGGGUAGUCAACUGUUUGCUGAUUUGGCAAAGCCUGCGAUGAAAAUAUAAUGUUAAUCGAAUGUGGAGAGAAAAUUGAAAAAAAAAAAAAAACAGAAAGAAAGAAAGAGAACCAUGGUGAAAGCGGUGACUGAGAGAGGAGACAGAGAGAAAUGAAAGCAAGGGUUUAUAAUAGUUCCCCUUUCUCACAAGAGAGUUCCUCUCAGCGUUAACCUCACGCACCUCUUCCACCUGGACUUUGCUUUUUCGGUCAUAUAUUAUUUUUUCCAUAAAUGGGCCUCCUAAUAUAAUUAAUUACAGGUAUUGCAUUGUGCAACCCCAUACUUUUCAAGUUGCACCCUAUAAAUACUGAAAAUAAAUUAUUACCGUUUUUGCUGCUCCAGUUUUCAAUUCUGCAAUACAGUAACCUUUCAUAUAGUAUAUUCUAAAAUAUUAAAACUUAUUUUUUGAUACUUUAAAUGGUACUUUAUAAAAUAUAAUUUUUAUAUUUUAUAAUAUAUAUUUAAAAUAUAACAUUCAGAAUAUAUUUUUUAAAGGUCAGUUUUAUCACUUUGCCAAAUUUUACUCGUUUGCCACCAUAUGGGUGUGCAACUUCAAAAAGCAUGGGAAUGCACCAACACUGCCCAUUUUAGUAUUAAAUAUCCUUUUUAUAACAUUUUUUUUUAUACUUUGGUUUUCUCUGCAUUAAAGUAGAGAUAUACUCUGUAAUAAAAUUAUUUUAUACUUGAAAAACUUACUAAAAUUUUAACAAAUAAAUUAAUAAUAUAAGAUAUUAUGAGCAACAGGUCAUGGGAUAAAAAGUUGGAGUUUUUUUUUAUAUAAACCAUUUUUUUAUUGAAUAAAAUAUUUUUAUAGUUAAAUAAGAUUUCUAUUGAGAGUAAGAAUUCAUAUUAAAAUAGUUAACACAAUUUUAAAUUGAUUAGAUUCAAUAAAUUUAUACCAGUUAAUUUAUGUGCUAUUACAAAAAAAAAAAAUCAAAUUUUUUGCUGAUUAAAAAACUUUGAAAAAGAAGUUAUAUGAGAAGUACUGUACUUGUUUAAAUGAUUAAGGAGAGUUCAUUGGUAUAAUCAAAAUAUAAAAGUAAAGUUUUUAAUUGAACUCCCAUUGACUGUACCAUUUCAAAUUUACUCUUUCAUUCUCAUGAAACAUCAAUAUUUUUUAUUACAAAAUAUAUAAUUUUAAAAACAAAAUUUAUAUUACAAAAUGUACAUCAUAGAAUACAAAUGUACAUUUUAGACUCUAAAAUCCAAAAUAUAUUUCCAGACACAGAAUGAACGAUUCAGAUUUAAUGUAUUUGGAAUUAUACUUAAUAUAUUUUGAAUUAUCCAACUUAUAUUGUAUUUCUAAAUCUAGAAAUGUAUUUUAAAAGGUAAAAAAAAAUACAUUUUACAAAUAUGAAAUAGGAGAACACUUUUAAAAUUUCACCAUCCAUGAAGGUGCACCUUCAAACUAGUGGGGGAUGCAGAAUAAAUGGACAAGAAAUAGGCAAUGCAUAUCACUGCACCUAAUUUCAAUGGAAAAGACAAAAAUAACCUUAAUGUAUUGUUUGUUUUUUAUAUUACGGAUUUUCUUAUCCGAGCUUUUGAUUUUUUUUUCGGAUUUUUAAACACAAAAUGCUCUUCGGAUAUAUUUUUUGAAUGUAUUAUUUUUCUAUUUUGAAACACAAAAUGCUCUUCGGAUAUUAUUUUUUUGGAAUGUAUUAUUUUCUAUUUUGAAUUUUCAUUUUCGAAAUAAAAGUUAUUUUUGGAAUUUUUUAAAUUGUGUUGGGCGCAUGUUUUUCGGGAUGUACUAUUUUCUAUUUCGAAUUUUCAUUUUCGAAAUAAAGGUUAUUUUUGGAUUUUUUUAAAUUGUGAAAUGUUGGGUGUAGGAAGAAUUUGCCCAAGAAAUAAACUUGUUUGAGUCCAGCUGAGCCCAUCAAAGAAACUCAUUGACACAAAUUAAAAACUACAAUAAAAACAACUAGCAUAGAAAAAUUAGUUUGAAUUAAAACUUAUUUUUCCAAAUUUUUAUUCUUUUAAAAUUUAACAUAAACAUUUGAAGAUAAAAUAAAACUUUUUAAGAAACAAUAUACAUUUAGUUCUCCCUACUUAUAAAUUUCAAUUUAGUUAAUGCCAAUAUAAACAAAUUAAACACAACUAAUUCUUUUUUACUAGCAAUGCAAAAAAAGACAUAUAUAUAUAUAUAUAUGUAUAUAUAUAUGUAGGAAGGGAUGGUACCCUAGUGCAUCAAACUAGACACCAAAAAAUGAAAAUGAACACAAAAAACAGGUUUCAGCUUUCACUGAGAUAUGUCUUCAGUGCUUAUAUAAGAAAAUCUACACCACAAAUUUCUCACUAAUACAGUAUUGAUUUGACUUCUAGAAUCCACUAAAAUAGCCUCAGUUUUUCCUUAUCAAUAGACACCAACUACUAAAAUUUCAUUUAUAUCAAAUGUUCCCUUCCAAAUCUUAAUACAUUUUCUAUUAAAAUAUCAGUGAUACCGUUAUUAUAAACAAUAAAACCAGAAACGUCUAAUGUCAGGUUAUCUUAACAGAGGAAUCAAAUAAAAACAAAAAUCUAACUUUUAAAAAAAAUGACCAAUUUAUUUUACACCAAAUUAACUUCAAUUAUAUUCUGUGAAAAUCACAUCCUUAAUUCCUAGAUGUGUAAUUGAAAAUAUCCAACACGCACAUCCUUGCAUAAUAAAAGAUCAAAAUUUUGUUGAAACAACCAGCUCACACCUUCGUAACACCCCUACAUAGUAAAAAUGAGAAUUUUACUUUAAAAACAAAUUGUAAUUUAAACAACGAAGUGUCAACACUACAACCCCUUAAAGGAUUUGAAAUAGCUUACAAAAACCAACAUUUGUUCCAUAAACACUCUAGUUCUCUACUCAAAAGUGUCAUCAUCAUCGUCAGGAAGGGGCUGACUGGCAGCUGCAGCAAGCUCGGCUUCAUGCCUGCAAAAGCCACCAAUACAUAAUAAAUAUAAGAAAUUUAAAAUGAACAAAACCACAUCAAAUGAGAACAAUACUACUACGUUAGAAGGACCUUUCCGAAACACAAGUCAUGCAUUUUGUGGAAUUUAAAAAUAUAUGAAAGCUAUGCCGGCUAAUUAGUUCACUUUGUUUGGAUGUUAAUGCUGGCAGAAGAGGAAUGAUUAAUUAUACGAAACAAUUCCGAUUCCUCGUUAUUAUUUAAGUAUAUUUAACAGCAAAGUCUUCCCCCAGCUAACAACACAAAAGACACUUUCUCAAACAGUUCUCCUCAAUUCCUCCCCAUUAUUUUGGUUAGUGGUAAUUCGUUUUCGUUAAGCAAUUUUUUUAAUUCAAAACGCACACUUGACAAAUCUACAACCCAUCUUUUUCUUAUCAUGCCAAGAAACCAAUAAUAAGUAAAAUGCUGAUAGAAUCGGAGAAACAAUUUAGUUAAUGACAGAUGGCUUACUGUUGCUGUGCAGCUAAAUCAAUUUGAACUUCUGGUGGAGCCAAUGCAGGGGAUUCUACAAAGUGCAAGUUAGGAUCACUGCAAAAUUGACACAGUUAGAAAAAAAAUAAAUUGGUGUCCAUUUAAAAGCGUAGUAUAAAAUGAAAUGAAUGUAAGAAAUGAAAACUCAGUGGCUCUACCCUGCAAUUUUACGUGCAAGAUACAAAAAUGGCUUCUCAAAAUUGUAGUUGCUCUUAGCUGAGAUUUCAUAGUACUGCAAAUUCUUCUUCCUGUGGAAAGUAACCUGUUUUGCCUUCACCUGCCUGUUCUUGACAUCAACCUUGUUACCGCAGAGAACAAUUGGGAUGUUUUCACAGACCCUGAAAAAUAGGUUAGGCAGAAAUUACUUAUGGAGCCAAAUAAACCAAAUUCAGAGUUAUAAGAGGCAUCACAGCCGAAAAAGAUUAGGGGCUUCAUUUACAAACCUGCAAAGAUCACGAUGCCAGGUUGGGACAUUCUUGUAUGUUAGUCGGGCAGUAACAUCAAACAUGAUAAUCGCACAUUGUCCAUGGAUACUGCAACAUAAGAUACCAUUUAACACAACAUAAAGGGUUGGUAUCACAGCAUAACAAAUAAAAUUCUUACACACCUUUUCAUUAGAAAAUUUAGGCCUAAAUCAAAUCUAUAAAACAGGCUUGCAAUAUAAACCUAUAUUCUAUAAUUUGACCAACAAUUUCCAGUGGAACAAAUUAAAAAACUAAAUGCAAUAAAUAUAUGAGUGUGUGUGUCUAACAGUCGUCAUACAAAAAAUAAAAACUAAAAAGUGCAGGUAACUUCCAUGCAAACUACAACAUGCAAUCAGAUACACAUAGAAUACUGUUAAAAGAAAAAAAUUGUGGACACAAGACUUACUAGUAUCCAUCCCUGAGACCACCAAACUUCUCCUGUCCAGCAGUAUCCCAGCAAUAGAAUCGAAUCUUUCCACAAUUAGUGAAAAAAUCCAACGGGUGAACCUCCACACCAAUUGUUGCUGUUGUGAAAAAGCAAAAUCAAGAUAAACAAGAAGUUUGAUUUGAAAUAAAUGUUAAACACAAAACCUUAAUCUUAAUUAUAAACUAAUCUUACGUUCGUAUUUCUUCUCGAAUUCCCCAGUAAGAUGCCUUUUCACAAAGGUUGUCUUUCCUGGAAAUUUCAUCACAAAUAAGUUCACAUGCCAAGGUAUAACCAGAUCGCUACAACAGAAUAACCUUUAAUAACUGAAAACACAGGCUAAAUGGUGAAAAUAAGAGUGAGAAAAAAGAAGAAGAAA